UCACAAUUGUAUUCGUAACCGAGAAAAAAUUUUGAGCUCUCAACACCUGCAGAACGUUUUGAGUCUCCCCAUCUGCUUAUCAUCUUGGUUAAAUAGGACUGGCUUCGUCGAUUUCUCUUUCACCCUGUUUCCCCUAAUUUUUUGGUCGUUCCUUCACAGGUGAUCACUUUCCAUUUUUGUUGUUUCACCAUUUUACAUUUUCAAUGUUUGAGCUCUCUUAAUUUGAUUAUUUUGCAUAUAUAUAAUCAAAACGUUGACUAUGUGUAUGAUGCCUUCUAACAGUUUUGUUUGUACCCAAAAAUGCUCCAAUGUUCAAUUUCUUAUGGCAUGUUUCAGUUUUCCUCAAUGCCACAGAAUAGCAGCAAGAUGGUGCCCCGACGACCACAAUUUCAGCUGCUUUAGCGGCUGCGUGACUGGUGCACUAACCUGGGAUGCUACACAGCAAUUAGGAGCAUUCAAUUUCUUAUGCUUUCUUUUCUUCUCUUUGUUACCCAAGAUUUACAUGUUUAGCCAGAUGAAGAAUUUGUAAAACCUUUUGUUCAUGUAUUGUUAUGUAGGAGGUUUGCUGCACAAAUCACCAUCUCAAAUGAAAUUGCGCUGAGGUUAUUUCAGAGGAAAAUCAACGCGCUAUUGUAGUUAACUGGUGGUACUAAUUUACAACACAUAAGAUGGAUGAGAGAUGAGAUUACAUUCAUCUGAAAAGUCCUACACUGAUGUCAGAGGAAUGAGAGCUUCACGGUGGACUUGAGUUGCGGCGGUAGGGCUGUGACGUGUUGGUAUUAACGAAGCGAACAUGGUGGCCAUCAAGACGAAUAGCAGCAGCCCACCAGGUUUCAUCUCCUUUUUUUUUUGAAAGAUCAAAUAAUUAUUUGAUUCAAUAAAGGUCCAAGACCAUAAUACAUAAUCUCCUUACAGAUUAGAACACAGAGUGUUACCUCCUAAAGCAUUUAGAAAUCUAACACCAAGGCAGUGUACCAAACCACCUUCCCAUUUACAUACCUAAGCUUUACUAACAAACAGGAAACAAGAAAAAACAAGACAGAAACAAGUGUCCUCUGAGAAUAGCCCCCCAAUUAAAUCCUAUUCUAGAACCAGCAAAACGCCUCUUUAGAUCUGCAAUCCUCCUCUUCUGUCAAGCAAGUCUUUAUUAUGCAGAACUUACAGUAACAGUAGCCAGCGAAAAACAGCAAGAGCCAGUUCAGUUUGCAAUCUCCGAACCCAUCUCAAGACAGCAAAAAACCAGGUAAAAAGCCUCAUAUCAGCAGCAAGCAACACAGUAAGAAACCCUACAAUCCCAGCUGAAAUCUGCCACGCGAAUUAGCUCUCCUAUGCCUCCUGAUUCCUGUGAUCUUCUAAUAGCACCCAUAAAGGUUCAAGGCGGUUACAUCCUUUGUUAGCUAAAAAAUCUGCCAAGGAGUUGCUCUCCCUGUAAAUGUGUCUGACCUCUAGGAAAUUAACUUCUCUCCUUGGAAGAUCAAUUUGAUUAAGUUCAUUGAUCAAGCGCCAAGGCCUAUUCUUAAAUUCAUGCAAUGCAUUAUAAUUAGGUGUUAGUUAUUGUUUAUAUCUUUUAUUCCAUUUUGGAUGCUGCAAGUUUUUAACUCUUUGUUGCCUAUUCUUUCUUUGGUUUUAUGGGUUUGAUUGAACAAGACCUAGGUAAGUUGGAUAUGACAAAAUUGUAUCCACCAUCUCCUGAAGUCACAUCUCAGCAAGCUACUAUUAAUAUCGGUAAUACAUUCUCUCAUGUUUGUGGUACAUAUGUUUCCAAUUUGUUGCAGCAGCAAUAACUGUUUGCAUCGAUGGCUGUUAAUCCUGAUUCCUGAUGAAUAAUAUUGUAACCUUUCAGGCCACCAUAGGCCAUUUGGCACAUGGGAAGUCAACAGUUGUGAAAGCAAUAGAAAAAUAGUGAAGAAGAGUGUCUGCUUAAUGAGUUUGUGUUGUUAGCUAGGUACAUGAGUUUAGGAUGUGUGCUUAGAGUUGACAAUAUUGUAUGUCCUAUGCUGUCUUUGCACUAGAGUUUAGACUAUAUUUUAUGCGAUCUUGCUAAAAGUUUUAGUUUUGUAGCACAUUGUGUCAUCAGUUCAUUUUUUAUUUUUUGAUUAUUUGCUUUAAUUAGAUAAGUAAUAGGUUGUGUUCGCAAACUGAAGAUAGGUAACUACUACUUUAGGUUCGGGUUCUUGGUUAAAAGAAGUGGCCAAUAUAGUCAUUUGGUCCAUGUGCAAUCAAAGCACUAUUUUGAAGCACUAAAAGAAUAGCAAAUGCAAUGUUUUGGCCAAAGAUGUCGAUUUAACUACUUCCUCCAUUAAAGAAUCUGAAAAAAUGUUGAAGCCUGUGAAUCUGAUAGAAUAAUCAAUCUUCCUAGGCUACCUUCAAGUCUCUCAGUCUCACACUUUUCAGGUUAUAUCACUGUUAAUGAAGACUGUGGGAGGGCCCUUCUCUAUUGGUUCUUUAAAGCUCAAUCUAAAUCAUGCAAAAAGCCUCUACUUCUCUAGCUCUAUGGAGGCCUGCGGUUAUCUAUUUCCGAAGUCAUUUGUCACAUUCAACCAUUAUUCUCUUAUUAUUAUUAUUAUUAUUAUCCAGUUUUUAUUUGUUUACAAUGUAGCAAAUAGAAAUAUGGUUAUAUACUGAUACUGUUGCAUUUGAUUGGUUUGGCUGUGAUUUAGGACCCCCAUGCUCCUCUAUUUGUCUGGUGCAGUGGUUUAUAUAGGAUAAUAGGACUAUAUUUCAACUUAUACUCAUUAAUCAACGUUCAUAUAUUUUCUCCAUAUUUCGACCACGGACUAAGGAGUAUAUUGUUUGACUAUUUCUUAUUGAAUCCAAGUGAUAGAGGAAAAUAAGGAAGGGAGAGAAUAAAUUAUUUGGCUUACUAAAAAGUGCAGAAGGAGUAUAAUGUUUGACUCUUACUUCCUCCUUUAUCUGGUGCACCAUUCAUGGUUGGCUCUCCAAAAUCAGUUUGUACAUCAGGGAAUGAGCGAUAUGACAACAAACCGUGGAUUGGUGAAGAGAAAAAUGUUUUGGCCUUGAAGUGAGAUGAGUUUUUCAUAUUCAUAAGAAUUGGGAUGUGUGAUGGUUUAAAUGUUAAAUUUUCUCCUUUUUAUGGUCGUGUAAAGCUGGGGAUGGGGAGUGAGGAGUUGUAUGGUAACAUUGUGUCUCUGUAUAUUUAUUUUUGUAGCAAACAGAUGAUAUGAAUGUACCUUAAAAUGCUAGCAUUUAUUUGAGUGAUUCAAUGUUUCCGUUAUCAUGUACUCCUCCGUUUCAAUGUAAGUGUCCACUUAGGAAAGAUGCACACAUAUUAAGGAAUGCAAUUAAUUUUGUUAACUUUUUAAAACAUAAUAAUUGUUUUUCUA